rnacentral:lncRNA from 10 species
AGUUUCCAGAGCACAGAGAUGGUGAAGUAGAAGUAAGAUUGAACAAAGUAAUUGCAAAUGAUUUGCAUGUCCAUCAUUUAUUCACUCAUUUAACAAGAUUAUUGAAUACCCCUUUUUGUUAGGUAUUAUGAUAGAGAUUGGGAAGCAAGAUGUAAAUAAGCAAGUAAGUUUCUGGAUCUUGGAAUACUUAAAUGUUUGUGAUAAAGACAAUACAUGAAAACAAGCAGCAACAAUAAAGAAGAUAACUUCCUCUACUGAUAUAUCUAUGAAAAACAAAUUAAAUAUAAUGAUAAAUACAGUAAAUAUGGGUAUAGAGUGUGGCUUUAGAUAGGAGAGUCAAGGAAUGUUUAACAAAGUGAGAGUAGAGUUUAAGCUACGUGGAACUGAAUCUGCUAAGACAAAUUAGGCAUAGAAGAUGCAGGGAAAGAGACUUCCAGCCAGGGUGAAGAGUGAGCAGG